rnacentral:rRNA from 1 species
CCUACGGGUGGCAGCAGUGGGGAAUAUUGGACAAUGGGCGAAAGCCUGAUCCAGCCAUGCCGCGUGUGUGAAGAAGGCCUUCGGGUUGUAAAGCACUUUCAGUGGGGAAGAAAGCCUUGGGGCUAAUACCCUCGAGGAAGGACAUCACCCACAGAAGAAGCACCGGCUAACUCAGUGCCAGCAGCCGCGGUAAUACGGAGGGUGCGAGCGUUAAUCGGAAUUACUGGGCGUAAAGCGCGCGUAGGCGGUCUGAUAAGCCGGUUGUGAAAGCCCCGGGCUCAACCUGGGAACGGCAUCCGGAACUGUCAGGCUAGAGUGCAGGAGAGGAAGGUAGAAUUCCCGGUGUAGCGGUGAAAUGCGUAGAGAUCGGGAGGAAUACCAGUGGCGAAGGCGGCCUUCUGGACUGACACUGACGCUGAGGUGCGAAAGCGUGGGUAGCAAACAGGAUUAGAUACCCGGGUAGUC